rnacentral:rRNA from 1 species
UACGAGGGGAGCAAGCGUUGUUCGGAUUUACUGGGCGUAAAGGGCGCGUAGGCGGCGUGACAAGUCACUUGUGAAAUCUCCGGGCUUAACCCGGAACGGUCAAGUGAAACUGUCGUGCUAGAGUACAGAAGGGGCAACUGGAAUUCUCGGUGUAGCGGUGAAAUGCGUAGAUAUCGAGAGGAACACCUGCGGCGAAGGCGGGUUGCUGGGCUGAUACUGACGCUGAUGCGCGAAAGCCAGGGGAGCGAACGGG